UGGGGAAUAUUGGACAAUGGGCGCAAGCCUGAUCCAGCCAUGCCGCGUGAGUGAUGAAGGCCCUAGGGUUGUAAAGCUCUUUCACCGGUGAAGAUAAUGACGGUAACCGGAGAAGAAGCCCCGGCUAACUUCGUGCCAGCAGCCGCGGUAAUACGAAGGGGGCUAGCGUUGUUCGGAUUUACUGGGCGUAAAGCGCACGUAGGCGGACUUUUAAGUCAGGGGUGAAAUCCCGGGGCUCAACCCCGGAACUGCCUUUGAUACUGGAAGUCUUGAGUAUGGUAGAGGUGAGUGGAAUUCCGAGUGUAGAGGUGAAAUUCGUAGAUAUUCGGAGGAACACCAGUGGCGAAGGCGGCUCACUGGACCAUUACUGACACUGCGGUGCGAAAGCGUGGGGAGCAAACAGG
rnacentral:rRNA from 1 species